rnacentral:rRNA from 1 species
UACGUAGGGAGCAAGCGUUGUUCGGAUUUACUGGGCGUAAAGGGCGCGUAGGCGGCAAAUUAAGUCAGCUGUGAAAUCUCCGAGCUUAACUCGGAACGGUCAGCUGAUACUGAUCUGCUAGAGUGCGGAAGGGGCAAUCGGAAUUCUUGGUGUAGCGGUGAAAUUCGUAGAUAUUCGCAGGAACACCAGUGGCGAAGGCGACUUGCUGGACUUAUGGUGACGCUGAGACGCGAAAGCGUGGGGAGCAAACAGG